UACGAAGGGUGCAAGCGUUACUCGGAAUUACUGGGCGUAAGGCGUGCGUAGGUGGUUGUUUAAGUCUGUUGUGAAAGCCCUGGGCUCAACCUGGGAACUGCAGUGGAAACUGGACAACUAGAGUGUGGUAGAGGGUAGCGGAAUUCCCGGUGUAGCAGUGAAAUGCGUAGAGAUCGGGAGGAACAUCCAUGGCGAAGGCAGCUACCUGGACCAACACUGACACUGAGGCACGAAAGCGUGGGGAGCAAACAGG
rnacentral:rRNA from 1 species